rnacentral:lncRNA from 1 species
GUUUUCUUUUAUUAUAUCUUUAUUUCUUUAUUUUAAUUGCAUUUUAAUUUGGUAAAAUAUACACUUAGUAUCUAAUUUAGUAUUUUGACUUAGUCCAUAGUCACAAAAAGUCUAGACCCCCAAAUAACUUAGUUUGACAUUUUAUUAAUUAUAAAAGUUAUCCAAAUAAUCAUUUUUACUACUGUUUUAUUCAUCUCAUAGUAUUUAAACAUUUUAUAAAUGUGUGGUUCUUCCCCAACAAUUAUCUAUGCAAUAUUUGGUUCACUCCGAACAUUUUAGUUUUAAUAUUUGAAAUUUUUUAUUGUUUGCCUAUUUUUGAAUUUGAAUUUGAAUCGGUUUUGAACUAACUCGAGAUUAGCAACUAUAAACGAGGUGACAUGGCAUCGUUAGCAGAGGUUACUAUAGCUUGAUUAUCCGGGCGUUACAAAUCUCCUCCACUACAAGAAAUCUCGUCCCGAGAUUUAGGAGGUAGAAGGAAACAGUGCAGGGUAUUCAUCGCGAAGACGAUCCUCGCGUUCCCAAGUGGCUUCGUCUUCAGAGUGAUUCGACCACUGGACUUUGAGGAAUUUGAUCGCCUUCUGACGUGUGCGGCGUUCAGCUUGGUCAAGAAUGCGGACCGGAUGCUCUUUAUAGGAGAGGUCCUGUUGCAAUUCGAGCACUUCAUGAUCCACCGCUCGGAUUGGAUCCUUGAAGCAACGGCGGAGUUGUGACACAUGGAACACAUCGUGAACCUGAGAAAGGUUCGGCGGAAGCUCCAGUUGAUAUGCCACCUUUCCACGCCUCUCAAGAAUAGUGAAGGGACCGAUAUAGCGAGGAGCUAGCUUUCCCUUGAUCCCGAAGCGGUGAGCACCCUUCAUUGGUGUAACUCGAAGAUAAGCCUUUUCGCCAGGUUGAUAGACCAUGUCUUGGUGAUGACGGUCAUACUGACUUUUCUGACGUGACUGAGCAGUCUUGAGAUUCUCGCGAAUAAUGCGAACUUGUUCUUCGGCCUGUUGGAUAAUAUCCGGACCGAAGAGUGGACGUUCCCCAGUUUCUGACCAGUUCAGAGGGGUUCGGCACUUCCGUCCAUAUAACACUUCGAAGGGGGACAUCUUCAGACUAGCUUGAUAGCUAUUAUUAUAAGAGAACUCGGCAUAUGGAAGAGAUUCCUCCCAUUUCUUGCCGAAUGAGAUUACACAAGCUCGAAGCAUGU